GACAGAGGAUGCAAGCGUUAUCCGGAAUGAUUGGGCGUAAAGCGUCUGUAGGUGGCUUUUUAAGUCUGCCGUUAAAUCCCAGGGCUUAACCCUGGACAGGCGGUGGAAACUGAAAGGCUAGAGUGCGGUAGGGGUAGAGGGAAUUCCCGGUGUAGCGGUGAAAUGCGUAGAGAUCGGGAAGAACAUCGGUGGCGAAAGCGCUACUACUGGACCGCAACUGACACUCAGGGACGAAAGCUAGGGGAGCGAAUGGG
rnacentral:rRNA from 1 species